rnacentral:tRNA from 1 species
GCCUGGGUGGCUCAGUUGGUUAAGCAUCUGACUUCGGUUCUGGUCAUGAUCUCACGGUCUGUGGGUUCGAGCCCCGCAUCGGGCU